rnacentral:piRNA from 1 species
UGUAAAGUAGCCUCAAAUGUUUUCUCCUGA